GACGAACGCUGGUGGCGUGCUUAACACAUGCAAGUCGAACGAUGAACCCGGAGCUUGCUCCGGCGGAUUAGUGGCGAACGGGUGAGUAACACGUGAGUAACCUGCCCUUGACUCUGGGAUAACUGCUAGAAAUGGUAGCUGAUACCGGAUACGACCCUCGGCGGCAUCGCCAGGGGGUGGAAAGAAUUUCGGUCAAGGAUGGACUCGCGGCCUAUCAGCUAGUUGGUGAGGUAACGGCUCACCAAGGCGACGACCGGUAGCCGGCCUGAGAGGGUGACCGGCCACACUGGGACUGAGACACGGCCCAGACUCCUACGGGAGGCAGCAGUGGGGAAUAUUGCGCAAUGGGCGCAAGCCUGAUGCAGCAACGCCGCGUGAGGGAUGACGGCCUUCGGGUUGUAAACCUCUUUUAGUAGGGAAGAAGCGAAAGUGACGGUACCUGCAGAAAAAGCACCGGCUAACUACGUGCCAGCCGCCGCGGUAA
rnacentral:rRNA from 1 species